rnacentral:rRNA from 1 species
UGAGGAAUAUUGGUCAAUGGACGCAAGUCUGAACCAGCCAAGUAGCGUGCAGGAUGACGGCCCUAUGGGUUGUAAACUGCUUUUAUAUGGGGAUAAAGUGGGGAACGUGUUCCCUUUUGCAGGUACCAUAUGAAUAAGGACCGGCUAAUUCCGUGCCAGCAGCCGCGGUAAUACGGAAGGUUCGGGCGUUAUCCGGAUUUAUUGGGUUCAAAGGGAGCGUAGGCCGUUUGGUAAGCGUGUUGUGAAAUGUAGGAGCUCAACUUCUAGAUUGCAGCGCGAACUGUCAGACUUGAGUGCGCACAACGUAGGCGGAAUUCAUGGUGUAGCGGUGAAAUGCUUAGAUAUCAUGAAGAACUCCGAUUGCGAAGGCAGCUUACGGGAGCGCAACUGACGCUGAAGCUCGAAGGUGCGGGUAUCGAACAGG